rnacentral:lncRNA from 1 species
ACCUGGGAGGCAGAGGUUGCAGUGAGCCGAGAUUGCACCACUGCACUCCAGCCUGCCUGGGCGACACAGUGAGACUCAUCUAAAAAAAAAGAGAGAGAGAGAUUGAGAGUUGGGGAGAGAAGAUUGUUUCCUGAAGGAAAAAUUGGGAUGCUGUUAUCCAAAAACAGGGGAAGAUACAUUGGGUAGGCAAAACAACAGUUAUCCAUAAUACCUGUUAUAAAUAAAUCAUUUUAAAAUAACAUUAAAAAGAGGGAGAACUUGCACUGUCUUAACUUAUUGAUGUUUGAUAUGUCAUAUAAUUUCUUGCCAGGUAGGAGCAGCACUUAGACCAGCCUUCACUUCAGAGACACCACCUGAUGUCACUGCCAAAGCAUGUCAGGUUUGCAGUGCCUGGAUAGCAAGUGGAGUUGUAAGUGACCUUAAUGAUCUACGAAGAGUUCAUCAGUUGCUUGUCUCAUCAUUAACAAAAAUACAGGCUGGAAAAGAAGCUCUAAGUCACUUAUAUAAUGAAAGUGCUUCUACCAUGGAGAUCUUAGCUGUGCUUAAAGCCUGGGCGGAGGUCUAUAUAAUUACUGUGCAAAGACAUAAAAACCACAGACAAGCUUUGAAGACUACCACCUGUUUAGAAGACAGUAUCAGAUAUGGAUCAUGUUCAUCAGAUGGACUAUUUGACUUAGUCUGCUCAGAUCUUGGCACACUAAGCAGACUCUGGCUUGCUGCACUUCAGGAUUUUGCUCUUUUAACUUUGCCUUCAGAAUUUGCCUCCCAACUUCCUGCUGAAGGAAUCAGCGUGGAAUUUCUAUGUUCCUUACGUUCAGACGCAACCAUGGAAAGCAUAACUGCUUGUUUACAUGCAUUGCAAGCACUUCUAGAUGUACCUUGGCCCAGAUCAAAAAUUGGCAGUAAUCAGGACUUGGGUAUAGAAUUGCUGAAUGUUCUACAUCGAGUAAUUUUGACCAGAGAAUCACCUUCUGUUCAAUUGGCUUCACUUGAAGUGGUAAUGCAGAUUAUCUGUGCUGCUCAAGAACAUGUGAAGGAAAAAAGACGAAGUGCAGAAGUUGAUGAUGGAGCUGCUGAAAAGGAAACUCUGCCAGAGUUUGGAGAGGGAAAGGACACUGGAGGACUUGUGCCUGGGAAGUCUUUGGUGUUUGCAACACUGGAAUUGUGUGUAUGCAUUCUAGUUAGACAGCUCCCAGAACUAAAUCCUAAAUUGACAGGUAGUCCAGGAGUAAAAGCUACAAAGCCACAGAUGCUAUCAGAGGAUGGAAGUAGAUUGGUUUCAGCUGCGUUGGUUAUCCUUUCUGAACUUCCUGCAGUGUGCUCUCCUGAAGGAAGCAUCUCAAUUCUCCCUACUAUAUUGUACCUCACAAUUGGGGUCCUCAGAGAGACUGCUGUGAAGUUACCUGGGGGCCAGUUAUCUUCAACAGUUGCAGCUUCCCUACAGGCUCUAAAAGGAAUAUUAUCUUCUCCAAUGGCCCAGGCAGAAAAGAGCCAUACUGCUUGGACUGACCUUCUUCGAAGUGCUUUAACAACAAUUCUUGACUGUUGGGAUCCAGGUGAUGAAACACACCAAGAACUUGAUGAAGUCAGUCUACUUACUGCUAUCACAGUGUUUAUUUUGUCUACCAGUCCAGAAGUAACUACCAUCCCAUGCCUUCAGAAGCGCUGUAUUGAUAAAUUUAAAGCUACUCUUGAGAUAAAAGAUCCUAUGGUACAAAUCAAGACUUACCAGCUCCUACAUUCCAUCUUUCAGUAUCCAAAUCCAGCUGUUUCCUACCCAUAUAUUUACUCUUUAGCAUCCUGUAUCAUGGAAAAACUACAGGAAAUAGACAAGAGAAAACCUGAAAACACUGCUGAGCUUCAGAUCUUCCAAGAAGGCAUAAAGGUCUUAGAAACACUGGUUACUGUUGCUGAAGAACACCAUCGAUCUCAGCUGGUGGCUUGUCUUUUGCCCAUCCUCAUUUCCUUCCUUUUGGAUGAAAAUGCUCUGGGAUCACCAACUUCCAUAAUGAGAAGUUUACAUGACUUUGCUCUGCAAAAUCUCAUGGAGAUUGGACCUCAGUAUUCAUCUGUUUUUAAAAGUUUAGUGGCUUCUUCUCCAGCCCUAAAAGCCCGCCUUGAGGCUGCUAUAAAGGGCAAUCAGGAAAGUGUCAAAGUCAAGAUACCAACAUCUAAAUAUACUAAGAGUCCUGGAAAAAAUUCAAGCAUCCAAUUAAAGACCAAUUUCCUCUGAUGUUAUUUUUUUGGAAUAGUAAGCACCUUAAUAUAAUACUUGAUCAUUUACUUCUCUUUGGGGACAAAAGUGACAUGUUAGGCACAAGUGCUCUUUGAGGUCUAGUUGAUUGUUUUACCUUAAAUAGCUGUGACUUUUCAAAGUAACAGCAUACUUAACAUUUUUUUUGUGUUGGUGGCGGGGGGGGGCCUAUGUUUUUUUUUCCAUUUAAGAAGACAAUGGAGCUAUCUUAUCAGGAAUUUUAAGAAAGUGCUAAAGACCUAAACUUACUAACCAAUUCACUGCUGUAAAAAUGAAAUGGAUUUCUUCUAACAGCCCAUACACAUGCGGCAUACUUAAUACUGUGAUAGAUAAAAAUAUGGCUCUAGCGUAAAUGAUCUGCACUAAUAUUGUAUCCCAAUUGCUGAUUUAAAAUUCUGCCUUGGCUGGGUGCCAUUGCUCAUAUCUAUGACCCCAGCACUUUGGGAGGCUGAGGCGGGUGGAUCAUGAAGUCAGGAGUUCAAGACAAGCUUGGCCAAGAUGCUGAAACCCCAUCUCUACUAAAAAUAGAAAAAUUAGCUGGGCACAGUAGCAGGUGCCUGUAAUCCCAGAUACACAGGAGGCUGAGGCAGGAGAAUCGCUUGAACAUGAGAGGCGAAGGUUGCAGUGAGCUAAGAUCGUCCUACUGCACUGCAGCCUGGGUGACAAGAGAAAGACUGCGUCUCUAAAUAAAUAAAUAUAAUAGUACAAAAUUACAGCUUUACAACAGUGUAACAUAAAAUUUGGUAUCUAUAUAACAGUUUUUCACCAUCCUUUGGUUUAGUUUUUAUUGGCUUCAGAAAAUGGAAGUUUUACUCAUCUUAAAUAGAAUAAGGCAUCUCCAGUAUUUUUCAAAGGGAUUUUUAUGUUACCUCUAUUUAACCAAUUUUGUUCACUUUC